rnacentral:lncRNA from 1 species
GGAAGUGGGUAAGGUUGGUUAUAAAGUCAAAAUUGUUGAUGGAGAUGCUCAGGGUGGAAAUCAGUUCCCUUAUGCUAAUUCAUCAUUCUUUUUAUUUUUGAAAAUGGUAUGGCUAUGCUUUUGUAAAGGAGGCUCAUUAAGGUUCUGUGUUCAAACCUCCUAGUUUGAGUAGUCCCCUUCUGCCGUGUUGCACAUGACUAAAACACUCGGGGUCACUCCAGGGGAACUUGGCUGCACAAAAUAACCAUGCAAGAGACAGAAAUUCCUUUUUCUUCGGGGGUGCUGUGACGGCUCCUCUGACCUUAAGGGUUCACAGAACGUGUAAGAGAGAGAGAGAGAGAGAGAGAGAGAGAGAGAGAGACCGCACUUGCUGACCCCUCUUAUUGAGGAGAAGUCAUUCAAAUGAGGCAAGAGGUCAGUUUCAAGGGGCUGAGUCUAGCUUUAUGAUGACUGACAUCUAGGAAGUCUACACCCAAGGGCACAGUAAAAGAAGGGGACACACAAAAGGCAUUUCCAUGGAACACCUAUCCCAAACAGGGCAAAGGGUAAACAUCACAAAAGAACAGGUGAGCAUAGCUCAACCCAUGGGGAUGUAGGAAGGCACAUCCAUGCAUGAAGACACAUUUGCUCGACCCUAAAGAUCAGGGAUACCGUCUAUGGUUACCUAGGCAACCAGAUCACAAAGUGACCGGCAAUGCCACACCAAUCAUAAGGGGAGACAAAUGAUGGUCACAUACUAUGUCGGCCUCCCACACCCUUCUCUUCAGUGUGAGCUGGAUUUAGUGUCUCUCAGGUGACCUAUAGAACAUGACAAAAGUUCAUGUGGUGUCACCUCCAAGAUUUAUUUCUGAAAUGACUGUGAAUAACAUCUCAUUCUCUCCUCUUCCUUACUUCCUUCCUUCCCUUCUUCCUUCUUUCCUCCUCCUCCUCCUCCUCCUCCUCUUCUUCUUCACUUCUUUCUUCCUUUUUU